rnacentral:rRNA from 1 species
CAAUAGCGUAUAUUAAAGUUGUUGCAGUUAAAAAGCUCGUAGUUGGAUUUCUGGUGGGAGCGAUCGGUCUGGUGCUUAGCGCGAGUACUUGCAUCGUCUCCGGCCAUCCUUGGGGAGAGUCUGUCUGGCAUUAGGUUGUCGGGCAGAGGAUCCUCAUCGUUUACUGUGAAAAAAUUAGAGUGUUCAAAGCAGGCUUAUGCCGUUGAAUAUAUUAGCAUGGAAUAAUAAGAUAGGACUUUGGUACUAUUUUGUUGGUUUGCGCACCAAAGUAAUGAUUAAUAGGGACAGUUGGGGGUAUUCGUAUUCCGUUGUCAGAGGUGAAAUUCUUGGAUUUACGGAAGGCGAACUACUGCGAAAGCAUUUACCAAGGAUGUUUUCAUUAA